CUUGCAGCUGUUGUUAUUAGUUCUUUUUCUCUGGGUUUAGACACUGGGCAGAUUCCCAGCUUGCAUUGUGUCCUGGAUGGAGAGAGGGAGGUGACGUGCAGCUGGGAGGUGAGCAGGGACGUGGAUCACUUAAUCUCCUACCAGCUGGUCCUUCCAAACAACCAGACGCCGCCGUCUGAGAGGCGCUGUGUGAACCUGACAGUGAGCUCGGACCCCGGUGGGGGGGUGGUGAGGUACAGCUGCUCCCUCGCGGAUGCCGACCCCAAACAUCUGCUGGUAGAGCUCCAACCAUCCCACCCUGCCAAGAGCUUUAACGUCUUCGAACACAUUCGUCCCAAACCUCCG